UACGUAGGGGGCAAGCGUUGUCCGGAUUUAUUGGGCGUAAAGAGCGUGUAGGCGGCCCCUUAAGUCCUGCGUGAAAUCCUGCGGCUCAACCUCAGACGGUCGUGGGAAACUGGAGGGCUAGAGUGCGGGAGAGGAGAGUGGAAUUCCCGGUGUAGCGGUGAAAUGCGCAGAUAUCGGGAAGAACACCCGUGGCGAAGGCGGCUCUCUGGGACGGUACUGACGCUGAGACGCGAAAGCGUGGGGAGCGAACAGG
rnacentral:rRNA from 1 species